rnacentral:rRNA from 1 species
ACGGUCUUGCUGUCACUUAUAGAUGGAUCCGCGCUGCAUUAGCUAGUUGGUAAGGUAACGGCUUACCAAGGCAACGAUGCAUAGCCGACCUGAGAGGGUGAUCGGCCACACUGGAACUGAGACACGGUCCAGACUCCUACGGGAGGCAGCAGUAGGGAAUCUUCCGCAAUGGGCGAAAGCCUGACGGAGCAACGCCGCGUGAGUGAUGAAGGUCUUCGGAUCGUAAAACUCUGUUAUUAGGGAAGAACAUAUGUGUAAGUAACUGUGCACAUCUUGACGGUACCUAAUCAGAAAGCCACGGCUAACUACGUGCCAGCAGCCGCGGUAAUACGUAGGUGGCAAGCGUUAUCCGGAAUUAUUGGGCGUAAAGCGCGCGUAGGCGGUUUUUUAAGUCUGAUGUGAAAGCCCACGGCUCAACCGUGGAGGGUCAUUGGAAACUGGAAAACUUGAGUGCAGAAGAGGAAAGUGGAAUUCCAUGUGUAGCGGUGAAAUGCGCAGAGAUAUGGAGGAACACCAGUGGCGAAGGCGACUUUCUGGUCUGUAACUGACGCUGAUGUGCGAAAGCGUGGGGAUCAAACAGGAUUAGAUACCCUGGUAGUCCACGCCGUAAACGAUGAGUGCUAAGUGUUAGGGGGUU